rnacentral:lncRNA from 1 species
CUUCCAGAAACGUGGCGUCACCUGUGUUUCAUUCCAGCUGAGCCACUUAAGGCUGGAUAGGACCCCAGGCCCUCCAACCGGGCCUGCGCGAGUGUCCUCCAGGCCACCUCUUGACGUCAGAGGGCCCGUGAACUCCACCCUCAGGCCAGGCCAAGGGCCUGCAUUUUGAAAGCGCAGAGGCCUGUAGCUGGUUAGCUUGUGCAGAAGGACAAUUAGCGCAGCUUUUCUCAAUCGCCUUUCCCCGCCCCGCCCACGCCCGGACCGCCCUCCCGCUUUGAUCUUUUUCCCAUAAAUACCCGCGGCGCCGGCCUCCGGGGCCCGCACGUCUGAGCUCGCGGUUCUGUGCGCUCCCGCUGCUCAACCUCUGUGCCUCCGCCUCCCGCUUGCGGAGUGUCGGGUAGCACAGGCCUGGCUCUGUGGCCAACCUCCCUAUCGCUUCAAGAUUUCUUCUCUGUUCUAUCCCUUGCUCUUUUUCUUAAAAAGAUUUUUAGGAUGAGCUAUUUCGGUCUUAGGCUCUUUAAGAAAACCUGACGUCCUAAGGUAGUUAGGAAACUUGAAGACUUAAUGUCAGUUUGUGGGAUGAAAAUGAAAAUGGGGUGGGGGGAGGAAUCUGUCUUUCCUUUUCAACUCUUUGAAGUGGUAGAGAACAAGAGGAAAAUAAGGAAUGAAGAUGAAAUUCCCAUUUAUCAGCUAAACGUAGGAAGGCGUUAAAACUCAGAAAAACAAAGUGGGGGGAAAAACUUCAAGAAGUGGGGUGGGGGGGUGUAACUGCGGAAAUGGGACUCGGGCAUUUGUGACGGGCGAGGGGAGAAAGAGGGUCUGGAUCUCACGUUUACCGCAGAGGGGAACGUACUAGUGGGGGCAGCAAAAAAUUCUGGGUGUAGUUUAGCUGCAGAAAGUAAAGGAUUUUCUAAGAAGUUCACGCUUGUAAGGAACAUGCUACCUAUCGGGAGCAGGGGAAAGAUGCUCUUUAAAAACCUCUUUAGGCUGCUUCUCUUUUCUGGCUGGCAAGAAUAUAUCUAGAACCAUCUGAAGACCCUAGUUCAUAAGGAGAACCUCUACUAGGUUGGGAGGUGGCCCUGCGGACAUGUGGUCCAAGAAAAAUCCACCUGCCUCAAAAGGUUGAGAGGCCAAAAACUGAAGUUAUUUCAAAGAUUCGAGAAAUAAAGAUUAGGGAAGGUAAGUGGCAGAUAAACAUGUCGCCAGAAAGCAGCUGAAAGCAGUUUAGUGUUUACUACAAACGUCAAUUACUUGCCUCUACAAAGCAGAGAUGCAGUAAGUGGUUGGCAGCCGUAAUAAGACAAAGAGACUACGUGUGAGCUGGGGAGGCCCAGGGUAGAAGUGGGAGGAAAGAAACUCGAAGAUGAACCAGGAAAAGAAACAAAACUUAAGUGAGGAACUUGGGUGACCAAAGUGAGAAAAGCCAGCCGAACAAAGUAGAUAUGGGAAAGGCCUAAUAAACAGAUGAAAAGCGAGCAAAACAUACAGAGACCUGGUAACAAUCGUACAGUUCAACUUAAAUACUGAUGCAGAAAUAUGGAACAAAAUCUCAGAUGCAAGCAACUCAAAUAAUACAAUGUGACAAAGCAGGGCUUAUUCAGUGCAAAAGGUUCAAUAGCAAGUCUAAUAUGCGAGUUCACCGUAUUGAUGAUCAAAGAAAUAUGUACUUUAGAUGCUUAAAACUGAAAAUACAUUGAUGUAAACAAUUCAGUGGACUAGGAACAGAUGUGUAGUUCUCCCACGUAAACCAAGUUGAAAGCCAACGUUACCUUUAAAGGAGAGAGACCAAUGGCAUUCCUACUAAAGUCAGGAGUAAGAUUAAAAUGCUAUAAACAGAAAUGAGAGUUGCAGAAACUGCAAAGUUAGAAUUUGUAUGCUUGGAUAACCCAAAAGGAUCAUUUGAAAAAGCUCACGAAAAUAUUUCAGGCUUAACAAUCACUUUCAAGAACUCUCCUGAAUCUAAACUCGUUAAAUACAAUGCAAGAGAAGGCUCUUUGACACUUAACAUAACAAUGAAAAAUGCUGAAGUAACCAAGGCUGAAUCUAAGCAAUGUUGCAAGUCAACAUGUAAAUUGAUUCUGAAACACUUGAAAGCCUUAAAUGCAAAGGUAAUACCAUCUUCUUGCAUAAACUGAACUUCAUAAAGAUGUCAAAUCUCCCCUAGUGAAAUAUCCCUGUGUGUAAUUCCACUUACAUGCUACAAAGAUAAUUUGUUACUAGUAACUGUAUUCAUCAGAACAAGUGAAUCAAAGAUUAAAUGUUAAAUUUGACUUAAUUCUUUAGAGCAAAAGUCAACAGACCAAAAUCCGAAGAUAAGUGGGGGGAAAAAAGUUGUGCCUCCUGUGACGUAGAAUGACUUUCUAGAAACUGAUACGUAAAAGAAUAGAAAAACGGGCAAGGAAACGUAUGCUUGACAUGAAUGGGAAUCAGGGCAAAUUCACUUCUUUGACGAUGUUCAGCUCUGGGAACUUUACUUGCAACUGCAUAAAACGAUAUAUAGGCAAGACUAUUCAUUACAUCUUUUGAAGUCAAAGUUCGCAACGACCUGUAAGGGGCUAACUAAAUCGUGUAGCUGCAAAAUGUGUUACGGUUAUCAGUUGCUAUGUAACAACCUCAAA